rnacentral:rRNA from 1 species
UACGUAGGGUGCGAGCGUUAAUCGGAAUUACUGGGCGUAAAGAGUGCGUAGGCGGUUCGUUAAGUCAGCUGUGAAAGCCCCGGGCUCAACCUGGGAACUGCGGUUGAAACUGGCGAACUAGAAUCUGGCAGAGGGGGGUGGAAUUCCACGUGUAGCAGUGAAAUGCGUAGAGAUGUGGAGGAACACCGAUGGCGAAGGCAGCCCCCUGGGCUGAGAUUGGCGCUCAGGCACGAAAGCGUGGGGAGCAAACAGG